UUCUCUCUUAGGGAGCUACCAUUUGAUUUUUAUGGGGGGGCUAGGAUGAAAUUUGAAAAAAAAUAGGCAGGACAGGAGUUUUGAGUAAAAAAAAAAAAGGCAGGAUGAGACACUUGCAAAAAAAAAAAGUCAGGACGACAAUUUAGGUAAAAAAAAGUCAGGAUAAACUAUAAAAAAAAGGCAGGACAGAGAUUACAGCUAAAAAAAAAUGCAGGACAACAUUUUUCAUCCUAGCCCCCCCA
rnacentral:lncRNA from 1 species